GCGGGUUGUAAGCAGGGCAGUAUGGGAUCUGAGCAGAAGGCUUAUUAGAUAAACAGUUGGAUUAGUUUAGGAGAUGCAUAUGACAGCGUUUUCAAGUGCGAUCAGUGGAUUACAGCAGGACGAUAUCUCACGCAGAGACACUCCACUGCUGCAUGUCAGAACACCAGCAUGUUGCACUGGCUCCUGAUUUUGAUCGUCGUGUUCAACACCUCCAUCACAAUCGUGGAGUGGACAUUUCUCUUAUAUGAGCUGAUGAGGUUAAAUUCAGAAAACCCAGAUGAAGUGUGUUCGGAGUAGACAGAGCAGCACGGCUCGGUAGCAUGAGGAGUUUAGUCUUAGAAAUUAAGUGUCAAGGUAAGAACUGUGUUUGAGUUCCAGGUUUUUAUAAAUCUGUCGGUGUGUGAAACUGACAAUAUGUCAAGUCUUUCGGGUGAAGCGGUGCUUCAGGUCUGAUUUUGCUCGUUCAUCUGGAAUGAAUCCUUCUUCCUUCCCAUUUAUCUCUCCUUUGGUGGAUUAUACGGGAAUCUCUGGACUUUGUUCUUAUAAUCUUGGGAAUAUUCUGUCUGCUGGACAUGCUGCUGGAUUCAGGAUUUGAUUAAAACAGGCUUAAUCUUCUCAUUCUCUGUGACUCAAUCAUUCCCCUUUAAUCCAGGCAGAUAUUGUUUGUUAUUAGAAAACUUUACAAUCUUCUUUACCUUCUUUAUUACUUUAUAUAGUGAGCUGUAAUGACGUGCGCUGUCCUGUAUGUCUCUCUCUCUCUCGUUCUCAUUUUCUGAACAGCAGAUUUGUUGGUUAAAUGCUAAGAAUUCAGUCAAAUCCGGACGCUGUCAGUCGGCAUGGACUCUCUGCUGUCCUCCUCGUCUGGUUCUGCAGAAGAGAGGCUCUGGUGGGCCGCAGGGUCUCAGCGUUUGCUGCAGUCUCACGCGUCAGACGCGUCUCAGUUCGUGGAGUACAGGCCUCCUGCGCGUGACUCCAUCUCUGUGCCGCCGCAUGUGCUGUACAUCACCGUGGGACUGGUGCUGGUGGUUGUGGCCACAUAUGCGAUAGUGGGUCACCUGAUCCAUGACCUGAUCCAUGACCUGGCAGACUGGGUCUUUGGCCCUAAACCUGAAGCUGGUGAUGCUGAGCGCGGCGGUGAAGAGGAGAGGGUUCUGAUGGAGGAAGAGCGAGCCGGUCUGCUGCCGGGAUUCAUCACCACCGAACACUAUCACACAGGGUCCGGCCUUCAUUACAUCACUUCACUAUGA
rnacentral:lncRNA from 1 species